AUGGAAAUGAGGACACUUGCUCAGCUCCUGGGGCUCCUGCUGCUCUGGCUUCCAGGUUCCAGAUGUGACAUCCAGAUGACCCAGUCUCCAGCCUCCCUGUCUGCAUCUCCAGGAGACACAGUCUCCAUCAACUGCAGAGCCAGUCAGGGUAUUAGCAAUUAUUUAGCCUGGUAUCAGCAGAAACCAGGGAAAGCUCCUAAGGAACUGAUCUAUUACACAUCCAAUUUGCAAUCUGGAGUUCCAUCGAGGUUCAGUGGCAGUGGGUCUGGGACAGAUUAUUCUCUCACCAUCAGCAACCUGCAGCCUGAAGAUGCUGCCACUUAUUACUGUUUGCAGUAUGAUAAGUAUCCUCGCACAGUGAUACAAGUCAUAACAAAAACAUCCAGGGAAGCAGAAGUGAGAGUCUGGGCUGCUCCAGCUGCUCCUCCUGGGGCCUCCAGCUGCUGGCAGAGCUGCUCAGAUGCAGCCAGAAUCUGAAGGUCACUUGAAGAU